rnacentral:precursor_RNA from 12 species
UGACGGGGUGGGGCGGCCGCGCGCGUCGUGUCAGGUACUAGGUGACUCUGAGUGGAAUGGUCUCAGAGACGCCUCGUGCCUCAGCACGGCGGCGCGGCCGCGGCGAUGACGAGACA